CUCUAGGAAUCUUUAGAUCUUCCGGUGCAAUUUUAUGGUCAGCAUCCAAUUAAAGUUGUCCAUAGGGUUAUGCUGGGAGACCUAGAAAUUCCUAUACA
ensembl:miRNA aca-mir-5449 aca-mir-5449